rnacentral:rRNA from 1 species
AUUGAACGCUGGCGGCAGGCCUAACACAUGCAAGUCGAGCGGAUGAGAGGAGCUUGCUCCUCGAUUCAGCGGCGGACGGGUGAGUAAUGCCUAGGAAUCUGCCUAGUAGUGGGGGACAACGUUUCGAAAGGAACGCUAAUACCGCAUACGUCCUACGGGAGAAAGUGGGGGAUCUUCGGACCUCACGCUAUUAGAUGAGCCUAGGUCGGAUUAGCUAGUUGGUAGGGUAACGGCCUACCAAGGCGACGAUCCGUAACUGGUCGGAGAGGAUGAUCAGUCACACUGGAACGGAGACACGGUCCAGACUCCUACGGGAGGCAGCAGUGGGGAAUAUUGGACAAUGGGCGAAAGCCUGAUCCAGCCAUGCCGCGUGUGUGAAGAAGGCCCUCGGGUCGUAAAGCACUUUAAGUUGGGAGGAAGGGCUUACAGCGAAUACCUGUGAGCUUUGACGUUACCGACAGAAUAAGCACCGGCUAACUUCGUGCCAGCCGCCGCCGUAA